UUGAAUGCGAUGUUGUUUUGCUCAUAGCGAUGAUUUUAGUUUUGUUAUUUUGUUUUGCUUUUUCUUAUGAUCAUGCACUUGAGUUGUGUAUAAAAUUUUUAAAGGACUCUGGUUGUUGAGCAUUCAAACCAAAAGGUGAUCUCCAUUUAUAGGUGACUAGUCCAACUACUUCGAAGCUGUCCAUCUGUAUAGCCAAGGAACCGUGUUCUGAAAUAUCAAAUUUAAAAAUCAUAUAUCGAUUCAAAAGCUAAUAUGCGCCGUCUUUGCUAGAAGAUUUCUUGUCUGUAUUUCGUGUACGUAACACAUAUAUUUUAUGUUGUUAAACAUAUGACACAAAAAUAACCACAUGCUCUUAAAUACACUCUACUUAAUUGAUGCUUCGAACAGUACCUAGUAAAAAAAAUAUUCAAUUGAUUAAAAAAAUAAUAAGCACAAAAUAAAUAAGUUUGGUUUACAAUUUUUUACUAAAUGUUAUUUAUACCUACAAUAAAAUAUUAUAUUAAAAUAAGUCUCAUGUCAGGUGGAUCAUUUUCUAGCUAAAAGUAAAUUGUAAAUGAACAAUUUACCCACACACGCUUCAUCUCCCACCUCAAGUCAACCUACCAACUGAUGUGUAAAUAGCUUUUUCGAAUACGGCACACAUUUCAUAACUUCUUACAUCAACUAUCGGAGCCAUUUCAAUUUUACAAUCUUUUUGGGACAUUAAUUGAACCGGAAAUGCGCCAACAGUAUUACUCCAGUCUGAAUAUAAGAACACCUUAAAUUGUGUCAUUUAUAAAUUAAUUAACAAUUUUUAUUUGCAUUGCAUAGGAGCAAGGUACCUUCAAAUAGAGGGGCCCCAGGUUGCCAGGUAACUAUCAUUAAAUUGCCUUUGUUAUUAACAUCACCGUAUAAUUUUUCGUAAUUUAUGUUAGGUACUGCAAAGAUAAAAAUAGCACUGUUAGACAAAAAUAAUAAGUUACUUGCAUAGAAAAAAUGUUAGCUUGAUAUACCUACCUCUUAAUUUGCGUAUUAGGGUUCUGUGCAUAUAAGAGAAUAACAUAUUAUGAUAUGCUAUUAUAAAAACUGCAAAUUUUGUUACGUCUGUCGUGUAUAAUGCCAUGUUAUAAUAACCUAAUAUAAAAAAAAACUGUAAAUUUUCUAGCCUGAAAUCUUGUUUUUCCUAUUUAUUAUUAUUUAACUAUUUUCCAAUGUCUUACAUGAUAUAUAAAACGUCGAAAGGAAUCGUUGAAUAUAUCAUAGCCUAAUUAGGAUGGACUUUUUUUUUCUUUGUUUUUCUAUAAAAACAAUAUUCCAUUUUAUUUCCUUUUGUAACUCUCGUAAAAAAAUGUUCUUAAUAUAUAAAUUGGAGUCAUUAUUGUCCUUCAAAAAUAUGAUAAUCUUCAGAAAUAAAGAUUAUAUCAAUUAAAUACUAAAUCAAGCACUGGGAAGCCGUCUCCUCCUUCUGCGAAGCAGUCAUGCUAACUGAGGAGAAUGCGGAGCGCGUGAGGGAACGAUCUUCCUCACGCCCCAGCCGCCGCAGGAGACGCUGCAGGCGUUGGGGAUCGCGAGACGACCACCAGCCAUCGUAAACGCGGGUCUGCAGACGGCGAGCAAGGGUAGCUUGUCGCCCGAUCAGAACCAGACCUAAGCGUAAGCCGCGUAGCGUACCGCGCGCGCCUCAAAGAGACAUCAGACCACCACAGAUGGAGCCCUAGGUUGGCAAGCCGGGUUGCGGGUGCAAGCGCAAUGAUGUACCGCGGCCUGGCUCGGAGCAAGAGAAGGUACGGGGGGUUUUUAGUCAGUACGAGUCUAACACUCCCUCUUGCCCCACCCAGGACAAGAGGGGUCAUAUGAUGAUAUUCCCCUUCAAAAAAAAAAAAAUAAAUAAAAAUAAUCCCUUCAAAAAAAAAAAACCUUUUGUGAUUAGAGGAACUCCUUUUGAAGGGUUUUUUAUUUUUUUUGUAAUAGAUCUAUUUAAAACUUGACGAUAAUUAAUUUUUUUAAAAGGUAUAAUAUAUUAAUUAAAAGUUAAAAGUGAAAAGAAACAGAGUAUCAUAGUGAAAAAAAAUUUCUACAUUCUCGAUUUAAGUGUGCAUUAAGUUUUUCUUUAUUUUCUAAGAUUUGUGUAAUGCGAAUUACUUUAUAAUUUUAUAUCAAUAAAACCGAAAACCACCAAAAGCACAUCCAUUCAUUGGAAGUACUAAAUUUUACUUAAUCUUUUAUUUCGGAUCUACUCCUUAAACUAGUGUAAAAUACAAUUAAUUGGUACUAAUAUUUAAAAUACCAUUAAUAUAAUUAUAUAAACCACAUUGUAAAAUCUAAUUUAACAUUCGUUAAAUAACAUUAAUGAUAAUUAAUUUGAGAUUUAAUCUAAAUAUCGAUAAACUGUUUACUAACAAUUGUACGUCUGCAAGCUGCUUAAAUCAUUAUGACGUAUCACUCCAAUAUUGUUCUCAUACGUGCCGGUGUCAAAGUGUGGGUGAACCACGGUUCUCUUGAUUUUCACAUCUAUUAAAUAUGAUUUAUCUAUAUUUAAAUAAAAAUUUCUUUUAUUAAAGAUAAUUUCAAGAUUAACUCGCGAAUUGUCCUUAACAACGUUCACUUGUAAAAACUAAUCUAGAAGACGUCUCAAAAAAAUAUUUCAAACGAGAAGCAAUAAUUAAUUACUUAUGUUAUAAUUAAUAUUAAACUAUUAAAAAUUAGACCUCACAGAAGAGAGAAUUCAGAAAACAGUAAGUACCGUUAUUAUAUCUAUACUUCAAUCUCCAGUCCAGUAAUAGAUGAGACAAAUCUGGAUGUGACAUGAGAGCUACACAAUGACCAGGUCCCAGAGACCAAUGACUUUUCAGGAGCAGCGUAUUACAAAUUCGACGGACAGGAGUACUGUUUAGAUAUAUUACUCCGAUGGGAACAGCAUCGAAUUGUGCUGAAAAAAAAGUUUUAUGUUACUAUUUUUAAACCAGCUUAAAGUAAUAACGGCAUAAAAUGAGCGCAUGUUUUUUUAUCAAUUAUAUUUCUUCGCAUUCUAA